AAUGGACCCAGCCAGACCCUUUGACCCAAGGUUUUAUGUGCUGUCUGUUGGUGUUCUUCCCACCUAGCAUUAGUAAAACGCAUGCCAUGUAAUGCCAAUGUUUGGCUCACUGGAAAAUAUGGAUACUAAUUCUGCAUGGCUUGAGGGUGGUUAGAUCAGCUAUCAUGCCAUGUACUGGUCCAACACUGGCAUGAUAUGUGCCAUACAUCAUGGAUUGGUACAGGCAGCACAUCUAUCCAUCCUUUGUUUAUCUGUUGCAUCGGGCCCACAAAAUUAUAGAACUACUCCUAGAAGCUAGAAAUAAAAGAUGCUUGUAACCUAGGCUAUUUAUUUCUGCUCUAAUCCAAUCUAUCAGCAAAACAAGUUAUUAUCUGCUAAUAAUCCUCCCUUAAUCGAGAACAUCUACAGCGAUCACCACCACUACCACCAAUAACAAAGUUAAGCAUGUACAAGUAAGAUUUAUUCCCUUCUUUAUUACUACAUAACACUAGGUUGCAAUGGAACUAAGCAAUUCAUGAACAGCUUAGGCUCAGUUUGAUGACAUGCUUGUUGAAGUUGUUCCACUAGGAAGUGAAUAAAACCGAAACAUAUUUUAUUGUUCGACUCAUAAAAGACCAAGCUCGAACACUUUGGGCUCACAAAAAUAAAUAGAAGUCUGUCUUGGUUUGAUAAUGAGCUUGUUUGAUCCAUUUAAUUAACAAGACGAGCUUGAACAUGUGUUGUCAAGCUCAACAUGUGCUUAGAUACCUCUUUGGUAUAAAGAGGAAUCUGAGGGGCUCACUACUUGGCUUGACUUGGCUUGUUUGCACCACUGAGCGACACCCAAAGAACCUAAACACUCUCCAUAAUGAAGUGCUAGCUCUUAAACUUCCAAAAUAGCCGCAACAUUUAGUGACUUCUUACCAGGUUCUUUUUACCAAUACCAUCAUUCUGCUCCAUGGUUGCAACAUCAGUUGCAACUUUCAGAAAAGGGACCAAGAAGAAAGUGGGAGUUAAUAUAUGAUCAUUGAUAGGAGUGAUUGUACCAUUUGAGAAAUUAGAGAUGCAGCCAUCACCUCUGGCUGAUGGCAUUGCAUGCUCUACUUUCCGUUGGAUCACCGAAACUCUUUGAACAUCCUUAAAUAAAUUCUUUGCUUCCAUAUAUCCUGAGAUAAUAUGCUGUAUAUAGUUCACAUCCUAUAUGUUAUUCUAGCUCAAUUCAUUGCUUUUUCCACCAUUCUCAAACUGAAAAAAAUAGUUACAGAAUAAUUUUUAGGUCAUUCUGCUUUUAAUUGGUGAAUUUUCUAGAUAAAGUACUGAUAUGUGCAUUGUUUUCUUCAGAUGCUUCAAGCAUUUUUUGCCUUAUACUACGGCUAAUUAGAUUCCAAAUAGGACAGGCUUUUAGAGCCACUGACAUAUCUUUGGUUUCUAAUAUUCUUGUCAUGUUUAGAGGUGGGCUUUCAAAAUUGACCACUUAUUUUCUUGUUGCAGGCUUUUAGAAGUCUCCUAUCAUCAGUUUGGAUCUUCAUUGCUUUAUUUUCAUACUGUUUGGUCUUAUGGAAGCUAUAGCAUUCAGUGUCUCCAAGUUCAUGCUCCCUGGAUUCUCAGUGGCUUGAAAAUCGUGUAAAAGCUGCUAGCAGUUGAUUGUCUGGUUCUUUUAUUAGAUCAAUUUUCCAUCCCAUCACGAUUGUAGUCUGAAUUUUGAAAAUAUGACCAUUGCUUAAAUCUGAUAUGUCACUACAGAGCCACUUAUCUGUGAAUACAGGUUAGAACUGUACUUUCUCUAUAUAUUUUUACUUUCUUGUCUUACGGGCAUAUCAAACUUAGCUUCUUCUUGUAGUAAUUGUUUCUUCUGCCUUGCUUGAGUUUAUGCACCUGCAGUAGCGCACAAGCUUUUCCCCCUUUCAUAGGUUUCUGUGAAUUUGUGGGUGCAUUAAUCCCACCAAACAAGGAUUCAUGCAAUUAUCUUAUUACGAUGAGAGAGUACUCUGGAAGCUUGUUGUUUGAAGACCUUGCUAAUAUAUACAGUGAUAUAAGACUGCUCUUGGCAUGUGAAUGACAAACAGCACAAAAAUCUCCUUUAUUUUUUAUUCAUCGUGGAAUACUCUCUACUUUGAAUGGAUUCUCUGAAUAAGGAUAAUAUCAUGCCAGUGCUUAUUGAGUGACUAGCCUUUACACCUAUCAUGCGAUAUUGGCACUUUCAUCACCAAUAUUGUCCAACUUUAGUUUAGUUGAAUGGGAGACCUUUAUUCCUGGAAGAUUAUAUUGCAGACAACGUAUUUGCAUUCUUCAGAUAACUUCAUGGAUAGGGCCUUGAGCUUGUAUUACAACAAUACAUAAGAUCUCUAGUUGGAAAGCUUGGUAUGGGAGAUUUUAGAAAGGAGAUCAUGAGGGCUACAGAUACGGCUGCGGAUUCCACAAGAUCAUGGCCUAAUCUGGCUGAACUUUGAGUCAAACUUAUUAGCCUUUGCCAAAUCUUUUUGUGUAAUGGAUCAGGUUGGCUGGUUAGGCUGAAGUAAUUCUGAAUGCAUAUUGUAGGAUGGAGCUGGAUCAGGUCUAUUUUCAACUUUUGCACCCAAUUGAGUUACUAAUUCUGCUCUAGUAUAUGAAUACGGACUCAAUAUUAGCUCGAAGUUGAGAUUGCAGGAUUUCAAAGAUCAUUUUUUUUCCUCCCUCUUAGGGUUAGGUUUUGUUCUACCAUCCCAAUUUGCACAUAUAGCAGUUGGAUGUAUAUAAGCCUUCGUUAUCUCAUCUAUGAAAAUCCUUCAUUUCCAACUCUUUUCAUUUAUUCAUUAAUAUGAAAUAUGUUCUGAGCUGAUCUGGUAAGAUUUAAGCUGCUUCAAAAACAUUUGAGCUUGACCAUCAAAAGACUGUCUUGUUACUCCAAUAACCUUGUGACUUGCUUCAUAAUUCAAAAUCCACAAUUUUAGUUAUACUAUAUAGGUAAUAAAUUGCAAAACUCAGUAACAGACAGAGCCUUCGCCUGUACCUUCAUAAUAUUCUCCUUUAGCAAGUUUCCAACCAGAGUCAUUAGCAUUUCCGCAUAGAUAAGCCUUUAGCGGACAUGUAUGAAUGUCUUCUACAAGAAGUUUCUUCAGGUGAAUUAAUGAAGCUGUGAAGUUGAACUCAAAUGAGAAUAAAUUAGCUACAAUUUUGAUCAAAUUUUUAAUUGCCUUUAAGCUUACAAGACUGAUGUUGAACCAGCCUUCUCUCAGCCUGUUGGCAUCGCUCUCCCAAGUGGAGAGGACCAGAGUUCGAACCCUGAGGUUGGGGAGCCCUCACAGUAUUUCUCAGAUAAGGUUGGAUGUUGAACCCUUCAGUCUUUUGGUCUUCCAAAGAUGAAGAUAUUUAAUAUUUCCUCCCAUCCGGUAGGCCAUGCAUAAAGCAAAGCCUAAUGAUAUGUCCUCCUGAGUUCAUACAAUCAUAAAUCACAAUUUUAUUUAAACCAGAUAGAAGUACAAAAGUAUUUAGCACAUAUACAGAAACAUGCCCUUGUAAUAGCCUUUUGAUUGUUCUUUCUGAAAGAGUAUCUUAUGUUUCAGGGGCCAAGUGGUCCUUAGCAACAAAGAAAUCUGUAACACCUGACAUGACAUUGUCCUUUGGUUCUCUGAUUACAGUAUAGCAUUUUCCUCAUCCAAAAUAACAAAGUAAUAUGCAUCACUUCUCUUUGCUGUGCAUGAUGACCUGUCCAUUUCCCUCACCAAUGUUUAUCCAGAUAGGACGAUAAUCUCUUAACAAAGUAAUUGGACUGGAAAAUCUGUGAGGGAAGAAAGGCACUAGAUCCUCUCACCCAAGCAAGUACCUGCACCGUUUAUGCAAAACCAAUAGUCAGGAAAAAAACAAAACUGCUGCUUUUAUAUUGUUCUACAAUAAUCAUUUGUGAGAUCCAAAUGUUAUGAAAAAAGCAGCAUGAUGAUUGGCAAAAACUGGUUACUGGUAGCUUGUGCAAGCUUUAGUGGAUAUACUGCAAGAUAAAGACUUAGAAGGUGCCCAUUUCUAAUUAGGUCUCUGAAAGAUGAUACAUGGCUCAGCAGCGUGUAGCUUCAAUCUGCAAGUUGGACAUGCCUUGAUAUGGGCAUUUAAUGAUGAUCCCAGAAAGCACUGUUGCUUCCAAAAAGUAUCUAGCUUAUAAAAAUCAGAGAGAAACUAUGCCUGACAUGCCAGAAUCCUUGAGGGGCUUAUCUGGCAUAUGUUCAGCAUUUCCUGCCUUAGCGGCUCUGUUCUAAAAGAAUUUUGUUUUCCAUAAACACAAGUUUUAAUAUAUAUGGAGCAUUUCUUUGACUAGCGCAUGCAUAUAUCUUGCAAGAUAUUGCUUAUACAUGUUAGCUGCAAAGUAAUUCUCACCCUUAAAGUGUUUCUAGACUUUGAACAAGCAUAUCCUCAUCAUCCCACUGCAUAUCCUUAGCUUUUGAAUGAUCUUCUUUCCCAAUCAGUUGAAGAGGAACAUCUAGCUGAGGUGGAGUCUGCAAAAAUAUAAAUAUAUGAAAAUAGGUAGAUGUUUUCAUGAAUUAUUGCUUUCCAAAGGGGAAUAAAUAUUGAUCACCCUGAUCUAAAUUACCAUGCAACGAAUUAGAGGCCAAUUAAUCUCACGGAAGAAAGGAUGUUGUUUGAUUUCACUUGCACCAAUAUUUGAUCCCAAACGAUAAGCAGGGUCUCUGUGGAGCAAUCCAUGGAUUAACUGCCUGGCUGCAAGGCUAACCUGCCCAGUAGACACAUUUAGCCAAGUAGGAAUCAACUUCAUCAACAUUUAUUCUUUUGCUGAGAGUACUGGAAAAAGCAUUUGGGCCUAGGAUUAAAUGAGUUGGUAUAUAUGGGGAUAAGUAGGCUAUAUUCCAGGUAGACUUAAUUUUGGAUAGAUUUAGUUGGGAUAAGUAUUCCUUCUGCUUGGGAGAAAUGCUGCUAUAAUCAAGUAAUAGUUGUGAUUUUGUUGUUGUAUUGUCUGGAAUUUGGAUGCUGAGGAUAAGAAAAGAAAAAGGUAAUAUUUUGCUGUGAUGCAUAAAUUUGCCCUUGCAAUUUCCUUUAUCUUAAAGCCAUUUAAUAUUAGAAUAUUUUAAUAUUAUAUUAACCAUGAUAAAGCAGUAAAUUGAUAAAGCGUGCAAUAACAUAAUAUGAUACAAUAUUUCACUAUAAUAUGGUAUUAUAUGAUAUGAUAUGACAUAAUAUAGUAUACCAAGAUGUUGAAAUUUGAAACUAUAAUAAUAUUAUGGGAUAAUAACAUUUUUAAUAAAUAUGUAUUCUCUAAAUAGGAAUGAGAGGCAUUUUUGGAAUAAAUGGAAUUUAAUAUGACUUAAACCAAUAGAUCAAGGUUCACAGUCCCAAUACCGGACUCUGUAACGGUGCCAUACUAGCACAGUAUCGGUACGGUAUGGUACGAGAUUUUCUAGUGUACCGAGUAUCGGUACGCCAUUGUACCGGAUACCAGUAUCGAACUGGUACAGUACAAUACGCCCCGCACUGCUCGGUUCAGGUCGGUACGAUGUACCAUGCAACUGAUGAUAGCCCAUAGCAGCUCCCCCUUGUUAUUGAAUUAAACUUAUUAAACCUGGUUUGACUAGAUUGCUGGGUGUAGCUAACCUUACUGGUCUAAACUCCUGUUUGGCACUUGUUUUUGGAUUCAAUGGGGAUAAACGGGGUUUAUCCCCUACCCAUCAUUACCCUUAAGGAUUUUAUUAGGCAAGUGUCUCUAGAGAUUGCUUGAUGAUGAUUCUCCAGUUUAUCCCCUACCCAUCAUUAUCCUUAAGGAUUUUAUUUGGCAAGUGUCUCUAGAGAUUGCUUGAUGAUGAUUCUCCUAACUUAUGGACUAGUGUAAUUAAAGCUGUUUAUUUUAGAGGUAACUCUGCAUUAGUUUUCAGCCUUGUUUCCUCAAAAGGAGCCUCCUCCUUAUCGGUGUGAUGAAGUCAGCAGAUGUUUUUGUGCGCUACUAAUGUUCAGUUGGUGAUGGCAGAUUGUGUAGCUCUUGGAGAGCUAGGUGGUUGUGGGACUGUUCACAUUUUCAGCAGAUUUCCUAAUCUCUUUAAAGCUGCUUGGGAAACUAAAGCCAUGAUGAGAUCUCAAUGUAGAGUGGUUGAUGCUUAGCUAUGUCUGGAACCAAAGUUCAGAAGGUUUAUCCAUGGUAGAGGUACUGCCUGAUUGGCUGAGUAGAAUAUUUGACAAACUUCAAGAGCUACUCUAUUGUGUCAAAAGGCUAAGGUCACUUUUGUUGGAUGAUGACUCAGUUGGCGGCAAACUGGCUAAUGGCUAUACUGUCCAUGUGUUUAGAAAAGGAGAAAAUCUAAGAUUAAAUUCCUUCUUGUUUUGACAUAGCUCUAAGAUAUCUAUGCUGCCUUGGUGGAAACUUAAGUCCAAAAGUACUCCUUUUAGUUAUAAGCUUGGUAGGCUGGGACCUCCAAAUCAAAGAAAGCCGAACUGAGCCGAACUGAGAAAAUGGUUCCGGCCCCUAGAGGGCCAGAAUCUGAUUGGCUCUAGCCAAAACCGGCCGGAAUGGUUUCGUCCGGUUCGCACCGGUAUCGACCCGUACCAAAUGCUGACUGGUACGAGUCUUAGUACCGGUUCGGCGAAUUUUGCUCCAAAUAAAUUUAGUCAUUAUAUGGAGAAUCUUCAAGAAUUACAAUCAGGAGGAAUAAUUUAGAAUUUAUCUGAUUGGCUUGUCUGGUUCUGCCAGCUUGUGCUAAAUGGACUCCAUUUCUAUCGUACUUGUGGGAGCUCGUGUAGAACUAUUAAAGUUCAAAUGUUUUACCAUCUAAGCAUUAUAUGAGUGAUAGGACUAACAGCUAAAACUAAUAAUUAAGUCCUUAGAUGUAGAAAACUCGCUUUGGCAUUAUUUGUUCACUAGACAUGCGAUAUAGACAUUACCAUUUUUGUGGAAUGGUUGCAACUUAUAAAACUGAGAUGAUGAUAGGAAAUGAAAAAUUCAUACUUGUUAUGAACUUGACUUAUUUUUAGCAUAAAUUAGCAGACUUCUGUGGGAUUCUGAGGAACAAGGUUGUAAACUGGUUUGGAAGCACCUGUCAGAUCUGAGGGAACUUUCCGACAUGCUAAUAAGCCCUGGUCAGGAACCUCACAUUUUCAACUGUGUUUGUUGAUAACAAAUUUGAACACAAUUUGGAAGCACUUAUCAGAUCUAUAUAGAGUCAAGUGUCUGCCCGUCUGUCUGUUUGUCUCUGUUGGGUCAGGUUGAAAGUGGGGCAUCCUACAUGCUAAUGAAGCCUUAGCAAGGAACCUGAUGUUUUGCACAUUAACAGAUAACAUUUCCCAACUACAUGUGGAAGCUUGAAAUCUAACUGUAUGUGCUAAAUCCUUUUGCAGUGCCAUCCUGGCUUAGAGCCAACCCCCUUUUGAUGGUUAGAGCCUGCCUUGUUGGUUGUUGCCUAAUUGAAAUAGAAUUGUGACAACUAAUGCCUUAAUGCAAGCUGAUAUUAUAAAAUUAGAGAUUAUAUAUUAUAAAAUAGGUAAAAAAACUGGUUAGGCAUCAGCUAUAGACUAAAUUGAGAGAAUGAAGAAUUACAAGAUCUGAUUAGAGACAUUUUCUUACUGGAAUGCUACUAGGGAAGGUGAGGUCUUUGUGCAAAAUGUUGGCAAAUGUCCUUUGCCUAUGCUUUCCUCGAAAAGGUGUACGGCCAUAUAACAUCUCAUACAACAAAAUUCCUGCAGUUUGAAAAAGUAGUCAAGGCUAUAAUAUAUCCAAUUUGGCUGAUUAUCAAAAGAAUGUAGAUCUGGAAAAGUCUAUUUGCUCUGUCAAUUAUUACAAAGAUUGAAAAGAAGCCUAUUAAGACAUGAUUAAGAAGGUGAUUAGAGCUACUUGUAAGGUAGUUCAGUGACUGAUCACUUGAUGGUCGAUAAUUGAGGUGUUACAUGCAUUGGAUAAUGGACCACUGGUCCCUUUUUGCAUAUUUAGAUGAAAAUAUACAUUUUAGUUUGUCGCAAAGAGCAUUAGUUACAGGAGCCAAUUCACUCAACUAGGUGUACAAAAUGUUGCAAGUAAAAUAUUUCACAUAAAUUAUAUGUAAGUAUCUGCCUCAUAUAUCAGUAAGAUUAUGAUCAUAUACAAUUAACGUUGUAGACUAACAUAUGCAAGACAGUUGCUUGUAGCAAUAUCUGAAUAGAUACCUCAACUAUUUCUGUUUGUAAGUUGCAUAAAGAUGCCUAUGUAUACCUUCAAUCAUAAAGGCAUUCCAUAAUUAUGUUGAGCAGGUAAUUUCAUGUUCUGCUCUUUGUAUGAUGUAUCUAAUUUUCUCCAAACCAAAACUAGACAUUUUCUGCUGCAUGCAGGCCAUUUUGUUGACUAAGGUUGUUUUUGGUUAUAGACAUUAACAUUGUUAUAUGAGUAAUUAUAGGAUUCUGAGGGCCAGUAAAGAACCUAAACAGUUAUUAAACUUGGCAACUUGCUUUUUAAAAUGUGGUAGGCGCUUGUUAUACAAGCAUAGCAUGAGUUUAUUACAGGAUAUAUUGAGCUACACUCUUCCUCGAUAGCAAGCCAAUUAUCAUUAUUAUUAUUAUUAUUGUGCAUAUGUGAUAGAAUUCUUAUGCCUUUUUGUUCUACUUGGGAAUUGAAAAUUUUGCUUACCUUGUAUUUGAGCAAUGUUUUAAUUGUAGAGGGAUAUAUAUUAGUAACCUAUGUUCUAAUUGGAGAGGGAUAUAUAUUAGUUUUGUAAUCGCAAAAAUUGUUCAUUGAGUAAUUGAGGUAGGAUUGGUAGAGAAUGACUGGCCAUCCAUGAGGUUUGAGAGGAGUUAAAAUGAUCAAGAAUUUGGUCCAAAGUUGAUAAAGAAGAGCUUAAAGUGAAUAAUGGAAAACUUUAAAGUUCCCACCCCUUUGCACUUUCUAGUUCCUACAGUGUCUGGCCAGAUCUGAUGAAAUUUUUCGCUGCAUGUAAAAUUGGAUACCUUGCUACUUCGACUGCUUGUUGACUUCACCUAAUGUUAUAAUUGCUUUUUACAUGUAACUUAUGGUCACUUCAAGGUUUGAGGACCUGGUGUUUUCCUGUUCAUCAUGGACUGUACAAGCCUGUUCCUCGGUACUUUAACCUUGCAACAAUCCUUAUGAUGGUCAACAUGCUAUUAGGAAGCAAGAAGCAAGCAGUUAUUGUCAUCUUGCCUUCAAAAGGAAAUUCUUUUACUGCAUGGAUCAUAUAUUGCUGCCUAUAAUAAGGAAGCCCAUUCUAGUGGCCCAUUUUCCCACAAAAUUUAGACUUAUUUGAUGGCUACAUGCUAGACAAGUAGACAUUAAAAUUUCACAUGGGAAAGUUUGAUAAGAAAGGGUUGUUAAUUGUUAGUUGUCAAACAAACAUACUUUUGGAUGCAUAAAUCUUCAAGCAAAGAGACAAAGUAAUGAAUGCUACCAUAUAGUUAAAUGCUUACCAAGAGCCCACCAAUCUAUGGCACUACUAUGUCCUGCUCCUGUGAUAAUCUCCUGAAAGAAAGAGAUGUGAGAGGAUAUAGAGGUUCCUUAAGAAUUCUAACGUUAUCUAUUAGCUAAUGUAGAUGUCUGAUAGUGUCUAUAACUAGCAGAAGCAUAAAAAUUCUGGAGCUCACGGGAAGCACAUGGAAUGUAAGGCAUGGAAUGAUAAAUCACAAAAUGACAGAACGACAUUCCAAAAUAAGAUGUCUACAGGUUUCAAUUACCUAAAUAAUCAAUAGCAGAAUUAUGACUUUGAUAAAAACUUGAAUAAAUUGAGCUAAAGAAUGUGACAUUUUCAAUAAGGAAUCCCCUGCUUGUUUUAAUCUGUUUCUUAGUUCUUGAAGAAACAUUCUGUAUAGAAGUUGAAGGUUUGUUUUCCUUUCCUCUGUAAGAAUCUAGUUCAUAGUUACAUUGGAAUGGCCAGGUAUACCAUAAGAUCAACAAUAGGUGCAAGGGAUGUUCCAAUACCUUUCACAGAACAAUUUUGGACCCUAUACUAGUUGCUGACAGGUUCCUUUCCUACAUUGCAUCACAUCAAAUAUGAAAUCAUAUUCCGUGCAGUAUUUAUCUGUCUCUCGUUUAAAUGAAGCUUCUGUUCGGUUUUGAGGAAUUGAAUUUUUGUUUUUUUAAAGGUAUAUCAUAUAUAGAAUAGUGGAGCCACAAGCAUGCAUGGGUAACUUUCACCCACACAUGCAAGGUACCGCACAGCUCUCCAUAAGAUGUAUAGGGCUUAUCUUCAAGGUUCAGGUGGAUCCACAUAAUCAGGGAGCUAUGUGGUACAUUGUUUCUUUUUUUUUCCGAGCAAUGUAGUAUAUUUCAUUUGUAAAUGUUGCUUUCCUAUAUACUUUACUAGGUUUGAAAUUAAUUCUAGAUUAUGUUUUGACACAUAUGUGGGGAGUUAGAUUAGAACCCAAAAAAGGACGAACUAAGGCUGAAGCCUUUCUGAUUGUCAAGAGUUUUUGCAACUUGGCUACAGACAACACAGAGGUGGAGGUGGUUUCUGGUACAAGUUGAACAUCCAUAAAAGAGGGAAGACAAAAGAAUAUUUAGAUUAAAGAGGUAAUAUUUGGACUUUGUAUAGGGUAAAGUGGAGUAUAUAUAGCUAACCCAAAAUUGAUGUUAUAGGGUUUCAUGAUUGUGUUUUUUAAGAAUCACACUAAUAAAUACUCUCUUCCUCAUAAAUAUAACUGUUAGUGUAUGACAAAAAGCAUAGGUAUUAUUAAAACAACUUAAUGACCAUGAGCUGAUAGAAGUUCAUACAGGAGCUAUAUACUCUUCUGUUCCAACAAAUGAAUUUGAUUGUGUACUAGGUUCUGCAACAAAGGUUGGAGGAAUCUGAUCUCUGGAUUUUCUUCUCUUAGACGGUGAUACAUGUUUUAUCACCUGCAAAAUAUUAAUUGUAUGCGAAAACUUUCAUUGUUAAGAAAAUUGAAAACACAGAUAGAUAUUUGAAAAAACUCAAAUAGCAGAUGUUGGUAGCUCAAGUAAUUGAAUGUAACUACAAUUUAUUAUAUAUUGAUAACAUCAAAUUAUACUGGCUCGAACUAUUUAAUAUCAACUCCACAUUUACAACUAGAAAGCCAUUUGGCUCGUCACAAGUGGUGAGUGCUACCUCGUGUGUGCAGUGAUGAGGGUCUUGCAGACCUGAUGCAUGGUGCACCCAUGAGAUGCACUCACCUGCACACGAACACUGGGGUGUGUGUCACGCAAACGGGGUCUGACAUCACUAUCUGUGCAUGGGUAGCCACAGAUGGUGAGCUAAACCCAUUCCUUACAACUAAUAUAACUCGUGUAAUUCUAAUAAAAUGAGUGCACUAUAGGGGGUCCAGUAGCUAAGCAAUGAAGAUGCAUCAAGUUGUGAUGGAGCAAACGGCAUGGCACCUCAAACCAUGCCAAGUACAGAUGUGUUGUGUGCUUAGCUGCACCCUCAAAGAUAUGGUAGUUGACUGCUUGUGCAAUAAUGGAAAGAUUGUUGAAUAUUCUCUCCCAUAGAGAAAGGGUAAAUAUAUCUAAGGCCAAUUGAUGCCUUGAAUAAAUCACCUAAAUUAACAGAAGUACUCAAGUGAAUGGUAUGAAAUGAUUAAACAAUAGAGUGCAUAUUAAGCUCGUGCAGACCCAAGAAAAAAGGAAUAAUCAUAAGACAACUGCCAAUGAUGCUCUCACUACUUUUUUCAAGUGGAUCAUCAUUCUUUCUCAUGUUUGUCCAUGGGAAAAUAUUGUAGCAACCAUGAAUUCAAGUAGCAGCAGCUGCUUUCCGAGAAAUGACAAAAUAUUUUCAAUCUUUCAUUAGACCAGUUAUUUUUGCCUUAGGUCUCUCACCUAUUUUGGAGUUGCAAUUCUCUCCACUAACCUAGAGAAGUUGCCAGAGAACAUGAUGAGAUAAAAUGAAAAACUCAACGUUCAGUGCCUGAAAUGACUCGAUGAAAAAGGGAGUAGAAGUCACUAACUCAAGCUACAGUUCUUGCAACCCAAUUAAUAAAUGAUGCAACUUCCAGUAAACAUACUCUCCUUACUUGCAGAAGUAUUAACAUGCAAAUUGAAGCAUCGGGGAGCCAUCUUCCUGUUUGCAAUUACAUUAAAGGUAGAAUGAUGAAGUUUUUCAAAAUCAAAGGUGAAAUUUAUGCUGCAAUUGAUCCCCUCACUCUCCUCUCUACCUCACGUCCUAUAAUUUAUUUUCACUUCACACAAUAGUCCUUUUUGAGUUCAGUGAAGGGCUUGUCCCUCACGGUGGUCGUUAGUGAUUGUGUCAGUUAAUCAUGACAGCAGGCACGCAUACAUACAUAGAGACAUGUAAAGUAUUAGUAAAAGAAUCAAGACUAGUAUAUGCACUACAAUGAACGCCCUAAACCCCUAGAAGUCAAAAUGAACACCUUAUUGAAGAUAGUGGCUAUCAUGAAUCUAGAGGAAGGUACCACCUUUGUUAACAAUAGAUCUUGCAAAAUUUUGUUGAACGCACUAUCUUAAUUAACAAUGGAUCUUCCAAAAUUUUCCAACAAAAUUUUCAACAAAAUAUUCUAUCUAUCCAUAUAUCUGUCAUUUUGA
rnacentral:lncRNA from 1 species